rnacentral:rRNA from 1 species
GACGAACGCUGGCGGCGUGCUUAACACAUGCAAGUCGAACGGAAAGGCCCUGCUUUUGUGGGGUGCUCGAGUGGCGAACGGGUGAGUAACACGUGAGUAACCUGCCCUUGACUUUGGGAUAACUUCAGGAAACUGGGGCUAAUACCGGAUAGGAGCUCCUGCUGCAUGGUGGGGGUUGGAAAGUUUCGGCGGUUGGGGAUGGACUCGCGGCUUAUCAGCUUGUUGGUGGGGUAGUGGCUUACCAAGGCUUUGACGGGUAGCCGGCCUGAGAGGGUGACCGGCCACAUUGGGACUGAGAUACGGCCCAGACUCCUACGGGAGGCAGCAGUGGGGAAUAUUGCACAAUGGGCGGAGGCCUGAUGCAGCAACGCCGCGUGCGGGAUGACGGCCUUCGGGUUGUAAACCGCUUUCGCCUGUGACGAAGCGUGAGUGACGGUAAUGGGUAAGAAGCACCGGCUAACUACGUG